GGUAGCUUAAUGGUAAAGCACCCAACCGGCAAUUGGGAGACCUGGGUUCAAGUCCCAACC
rnacentral:tRNA from 1 species